rnacentral:rRNA from 1 species
GUGUGACCCGGUGAUACGGAUCUAGCUCUUCGUCUAAUCGAGGUAGACCGUUGGCCAAAGUAACUGCUCAUUGGAGCAGGAACUGUGAGGUCGACGGUUCCUGCAUCAUUCCAAUUGGCUAGGCGAAGCAAUUCGAACUUCUUGGCGGUUCCUAACGCGGGACUAGCAAUCCAUAGCGGAGGAAGAACCACACGGCUUGCCUAGAACGGGGAGGGAGGCGGCAACAGCUCAAUGAAAUCUGCUUCUUCAGGAGUCGAGUGUAUUUGCAAGAGGGCGCUUUGGCUUUGCAGCGGUCAAGUUCCUGGAACAGGACGUCACAGAGGGUGAGAAUCCCGUACGUGGUCGCUAGCUAUUGCCGUGUAAAGCCCCUUCGACGAGUCGAGUGUUUGGGAAUGCAGCUCUAAAUGGGAGGUAAAUUUCUUCUAAAGCUAAAUAUUGGCCAGAGACCGAUAGCGCACAAGUAGAGUGAUCGAAAGAUGAAAAGCACUUUGGAAAGAGAGUCAAACAGCACGUGAAAUUGUUGAAAGGGAAGCGCUUGCAGCCAGACUUGCUUGCAGUUGCUCAUCCGGGCUUUUGCCCGGUGCACUCUUCUGCAGGCAGGCCAGCAUCAGUUUGGGCGGUGGGAUAAAGGUCUCUGACACGUUCCUUCCUUCGGGUUGGCCAUAUAGGGGAGACGUCAUACCACCAGCCUGGACUGAGGUCCGCGCAUCUGCUAGGAUGCUGGCGUAAUGGCUGUAAGCGGCCCGUCUUGAAACACGGACCAAGGAGUCUAACAUCUAUGCGAGUGUUUGGGUGUCAAGCCCGAGCGCGUAAUGAAAGUGAACGGAGGUGGGAACCCGCAAGGGCGCACCAUCGACCGAUCCUGAAGUUUACGGAAGGAUUUGAGUAAGAGCAUGGCUGUUGGGACCCGAAAGAUGGUGAACUAUGCUUGAAUAGGGUGAAGCCAGAGGAAACUCUGGUGGAGGCUCGCAGCGGUUCUGACGUGCAAAUCGAUCGUCAAAUUUGGGCAUAGGGGCGAAAGACCC